rnacentral:rRNA from 1 species
AGAGUUUGAUCCUGGCUCAGGAUGAACGCUGGCGGCGUGCUUAACACAUGCAAGUCGAACGAACCUUCGGGUUAGUGGCGGACGGGUGAGUAACGCGUGGGAAUCUGCCCUCAGGAGGGGGAUAACGGUUGGAAACGACCGCUAAUACCCCAUAUGCCGAGAGGUGAAAUGAAUUUCGCCUGAGGAUGAGCCCGCGUCUGAUUAGCUUGUUGGUGAGGUAAUGGCUCACCAAGGCUUCGAUCAGUAGCUGGUCUGAGAGGAUGAUCAGCCACACUGGGACUGAGACACGGCCCAGACUCCUACGGGAGGCAGCAGUGGGGAAUUUUCCGCAAUGGGCGAAAGCCUGACGGAGCAACGCCGCGUGAGGGACGAAGGCCUCUGGGCUGUAAACCUCUUUUCUCAAGGAAGAAGAUCUGACGGUACUUGAGGAAUAAGCCACGGCUAAUUCCGUGCCAGCAGCCGCGGUAAUACGGGAGUGGCAAGCGUUAUCCGGAAUUAUUGGGCGUAAAGCGUCCGCAGGCGGCCCUUCAAGUCUGCUGUUAAAGCGUGGAGCUUAACUCCAUCAAGGCAGUGGAAACUGUUGGGCUUGAGUGUGGUAGGGGCAGAGGGAAUUCCCGGUGUAGCGGUGAAAUGCGUAGAUAUCGGGAAGAACACCAGUGGCGAAGGCGCUCUGCUGGGCCAUAACUGACGCUCAUGGACGAAAGCCAGGGGAGCGAAAGGGAUUAGAUACCCCUGUAGUCCUGGCCGUAAACGAUGAACACUAGGUGUCGGGGGAAUCGACCCCCUCGGUGUCGUAGCCAACGCGUUAAGUGUUCCGCCUGGGGAGUACGCACGCAAGUGUGAAACUCAAAGGAAUUGACGGGGGCCCGCACAAGCGGUGGAGUAUGUGGUUUAAUUCGAUGCAACGCGAAGAACCUUACCAGGGUUUGACAUCCUGCGAACCUCUUAGAAAUUUGAGGGUGCCUUCGGGAACGCAGUGACAGGUGGUGCAUGGCUGUCGUCAGCUCGUGUCGUGAGAUGUUGGGUUAAGUCCCGCAACGAGCGCAACCCACGUUUUUAGUUGCCAGCAUUAAGUUGGGCACUCUAGAGAGACCGCCGGUGAUAAACCGGAGGAAGGUGUGGAUGACGUCAAGUCAUCAUGCCCCUUACAUCCUGGGCUACACACGUACUACAAUGCUACGGACAAAGGGCAGCGAACUCGCGAGGGCAAGCAAAUCCCAUAAACCGUGGCUCAGUUCAGAUCGUAGGCUGCAACUCGCCUACGUGAAGUAGGAAUCGCUAGUAAUCGCAGGUCAGCAUACUGCGGUGAAUACGUUCCCGGGCCUUGUACACACCGCCCGUCACACCAUGGAAGUUGGCCACGCCCGAAGUCGUUACUCCAACCCUUGUGGAGGAGGACGCCGAAGGUGGGGCUAAUGACUGGGGUGAAGUCGUAACAAGGUAGCCGUACCGGAAGGUGCGGCUG